rnacentral:lncRNA from 1 species
CAAUAAUAUCAGGCAUUGGACAGAGGAGCAAAGUCAGAGACAGCAGCUGAGAAGUUGAGAGCUGGCGUCAUUAGAACAGGCUGGGAAAUAUGAGUGUGAGGCAUGUCUCGGCAGGAAGGUCCAGCAUUGGCCGGGGAACAAAGCAGACUUCUUGGCAUGCCCUCUCGCUGAGGCUAUGUGAACUGCUGGGCAGGCCGGCCUGCUUAAAGAUCUCACUCCGGACAAGUAAACACCAAUACCACCAACCUGAGUAGGCCUUCCAUGAAAUACUGGGGACACUAAGAAGCCACACCCCCUGAAACAUUCUAUGGUCAUUCAGCAUUUGAAGCAAAUUGGAAAGGUGAAAAACCUGAUAAGUGGGUGCCUCAUGAGCUCACCGAAAAUUUUUUUAAAAAUUGUCGUUUUGAAGUGUCAUCUUCUCUUAUUCUAUGCAACAACAAUGAACCAUUUCUUGAUUGGAUUGUGAUGUGCGAGGAAAAGUGGAUUUUAUAUGACAACUGGCGAUGACCAGCUCAGUGGUUGGACCGAGAAGAAGCUCCAAAACACUUCCCAAAGCCAAACUUGCACCAAAAAAGGUCCUGGUCACUGCUUGGUGGGCUGCUGCUGGUCUGAUCCACUGCAGCUUUCUGAAUCCCUGGGAAACCAUUACACCUGAGAAGUAUGCUCAGCAAACCAAUGAGAUGCACCAAAAACUGCAAUGCCUGCAGCUGGCUUUGGUCAACAGGAAGGGCCCAAUUCUUCUCCACCACAAUGUCCGACUGCACAUCACAACCCACGCUUCAGAAGUUGAACAAAUUGGGCUACGAAGUUUUGCCUCAUCUCCCAUGUUCACCUGACCUCUCGCUGAGAAGUAGCUUUGGAGCUUCUUCUCGGUCCAAACACUGAGCUGGUCAUCGCCGGUUGUCAUAUAAAAUCCACUUUUCCUCGCACAUCACAAUCCAAUCAAGAAAUGGUUCAUUGUUGUUGCAUAGAAUAAGAGAAGAUGACACUUCAAAACUACCACUUCUUCAAGCAUCUCAACAACUUUUUGCAGGGAAAAUGCUUCCACAACCAGCAGGAUGCAGAAAAUGCUCUCCAAAAGUUUGUCAAAUCCUGAAGCAUGGAUUUUUAGGCUACAGGAAUAAACGUAUUUCUCACUGGCAGAAAUUUAUUGAUUGUAAUGAUUCCUUUUUUGGUUAAAGACAUGUUUGAGCCUAGUUAUAACGACUUACAAUUCACGGUCCAAAACUGCAAGUACUUUUUGCACCAGCGAGAUGUGCAUAUGAGAAGCUUAUUUCACCAAGCCUCUUAUCUAGUCAUCUGUAUAAUUAUUUCAAGCACAGGAGGGACCCUACUUCUUACUGGGGAGGAUUAAGGAAGGCUUCCUGGAGGAUUGUCUCAGAGCUUGCUGCAGGUGCAUAUUGAAAAGCAAUUCAUUACAAUUUUCUAUAAGAGACUGUGGCUGAACAAUGAUACACAGAUUAGCAAACUGAGGCUUGGAGAAGUGGAAAACUUGCCUAAGAUUAAACAGCAUUAAAGGAACAGAGGCUGGGCUUGCAACUCAGCUCUGGGACUCCAAAGUCUGCCCUUUCCAACUACAUCGUCUUGCUGAUCGCGAGCUCAGUUGAUGGUAAAGACCUGUG